CUCUGUAUUCUUCCACAGCUUUCUUGAACUGCAACCUUUUUAAUAUUGGUUUUAUCUCAUAAAUCUAUUUGCAUAAAAUAGUGAUUUUAAUUUAGAUCGCAUCUGUACGAUCGAUUUGCAGUUCAAUAAAGCUGUGGGAAGAUACAUACA
rnacentral:pre_miRNA from 1 species